UACGUAGGGGGCGAGCGUUGUCCGAAUUCACUGGGCGUAAAGCGCGCGUAGGCGGGUUAUUAAGUUAGGGGUGAAAUCCCGAGGCUCAACCUCGGAACUGCCUUUAAAACUGUUAGCCUGGAGGUAUGGAGAGGGAAGUGGAAUUCCUGGUGUAGCGGUGAUAUGCGUAGAUAUCAGGAGGAACACCCGUGGCGAAGGCGGCUUCCUGGCCAUAUCCUGACGCUGAGGUGCGAAAGCGUGGGGAGCAAACAGG
rnacentral:rRNA from 1 species